GGCGGGGUAGCUCAGUUGGUUAGAGCAGCGGAAUCAUAAUCCGCGUGUCGACGGUUCGAGUCCGCCCCUCGCUACCA
rnacentral:tRNA from 1 species